rnacentral:sRNA from 1 species
UAGUCUGUCAGGCAUGUUCCUGAUUCUGGUCCUAGAGACCUGGAUAGCCCUGCCCCUCUCCCUGUCUGCCCAGGCUCAGUGAUGCUACCCUGCCUAGCGGUCUUCCUAGAACAUAGAGCCUUGGCUGGUCCCUUGGGACCCCGGGGUUGGGACAGCCUGUCUGCUCUACCCUGCCCAUCCCCCACAGCACAGAGCAAGGCUCACUCAGAUUAAUUAAUCUGCUGCCCAGCCCGCUCCUCCGGCUUAUCUUUUAUUCAUGGACAAGCAGCGUUCUUCGCUUUACGAGGACGGGCAUCAAUAUUUCAUCUCGCUUAGCCUGCCAGCUCCUGGCUCCUCUCCACCCCCACUCUGCUUCCCACUGGCUUUAGGACCUAGAGGGCUGGGUAUGCUGGCCAGCCCAGAGUCAUCAGAUGGCAGGCUGCCUUCUCGGGCCUCUGACCUGUUCUCCACACCAUCCCUGGCAGAGCAGGGAUCUGCCUGGAUACCUGUCUUCAUGAAAUGACAGAAGACGUCUGCAGAGAGGAAAGGAAACAAGACGUUCGAAGGACUCAGGUGCAAACGGAAGCAUUACUGUGCUCAGUCAGCAAACAGGCAACCUCCGGGCAUCCCCAAGUCCUGUCCCAGAGUCCUUCCAGCCCCACGUCCCACACAGCUGAACAAAGGAGGAGCAAGGAGGUUUGUUCCACAUCAGGCAGACAACAGAAAGGACUUCCAGUCCAGUCCAAAUCAGGAGACUCAUGAAUCUAAUUGUCUGUGGGCCGUCAGAAAGAGAUUCACACACAUCUGUGCUGGAUGACAGAUUGACCAGGGAAGAGUCAGGGGCAUAACUGUAAUGACCCUUCCUAACCUUGUUAAAGUGUUCCUUGUGGCCCAGGUCUACCUGCUCUUAGGUUCCCAUGGAUGGCUCAAGCACCAUUAAGCAUCUUGGAAUAAAAAUCUGACUUCAGAAUCAAUUGAUGGAGAAAGGUUCCUCAAACAUUUCCCAUAGAAGGUAAUUAAAUUCCAAUAGGAGAAGAUGGAGCGGCUGGUGACGGGCGGUGGGGGCCCCCGCGCUGGCGCCGGGCUGCUGAGCAAUGAAAUCACGGGCGUGCGCAGCUCAGAGCUGGCAGCCGCACAGAGGAAACGGGAGCAGUCAAAUAUCUCCCUCCUUGUUGAGUUCCAUUUACAUGUUUAUAAUAGAGGUUCUUAAGGCCCUAAUGAGAAGGCUGCUCAUUGCAGGGAAGAGGAUGAUUAAGGUUCUGCCAGACGAGAUCAGGGACGGGAACAAAGGACUGUUAAUUACUACAGAGGGACCAGGGAGAGCCAGGCCCAGGCUCACCCAAAAGCCUUGCCAGACUGGUGCCGCUCUGCUUUCCCAACAUCCCCUGCGCAGAUGACUCCUGAGGAGUGGGCGGGGCAGCUCUGGGGGCUACAUUCUCUGUCUCUGGGGCCACAUUCAAAGACUCUCCCAAGGGAGUAAUUCCAGGCUGGACCGUGGAGCAUGCUGCUGUCUAAUCUGAAGAUGCCCCUUGGGGAUCGAGGGAGCAGAAGACACCACACUGCUUGCUUGGUCACUGUGUGGCUCACUCGAAAGCGUCUUACUUGAACUUUGGGCCUUAUAAAGGGACAUCACCGGAGACAGAUGAAAAAUCUCCUCUGCCCAGCCUGGCGGAUGCCCAAGAGACUUAGAUCCAGGUCAGAAUCAUGUCUCCUGAUGCCAAAGUGGGGCCUUGUUGGCAACUAGAGUUCAUGGUAUGUGAGAAAAUGACAGAUGUACUUGUCAUGUUCUGAGAACUAUCCCAUAUUACUAAACAUCGACUGCGUUCAUGCACUGAGUGCCUGUACCGACGUGAACUAUAUGGCCAUGUUCUGAGCACCUGUACCAGCAUCCUGCACUGGGCACCUACAGCUCUGUGCACGAAGAACCUACACCAUUGUUCACCAAGCAAAUAUACAGUUGCGUGCACUGAGCGCCCGUGGUGUCCUAGACUUUGUUGAUAUUACAUCAUCAAGCUUUCAAACCCACCCAGAGUGUAGAUGAGUUAUCCAUUUAUCCGCUCAGCCUGAAAAGGCAGAGGUCCCAAGAAGUUAAUGAUCUACACGGGGCACCUCACUAGUCAAGGUAGUCACCUCACUAGCAGACAUGGGCUUUGAACCCUGGUCUGACCCUAAGCCUGUUGAUCCCAAUCAGUACAUGAUAGUGGAUGCUCAGGAGACAGUGGUACACCAUGUAUGGUGGUGUAGACCAUCAGUGCAUGGUGGUGUGGAUGCUCAGUGCGUGGUGGUGUAGAUACUCAGUGCAUGGUGGUGUAGACAGUCUGUGGUGGUGUAGAUGAUCAGUGCAUGGUGGUGUAGACAGUGCAUGGUGCUCAGUAUACAAUGUGGAUGCCCAGUUCAGAGUGGUGUACAUGCCUAGCACACAGUAGCAUAGGUGCUCAGUAUACAAUGCAGGCGUUCAGUACAGUAGUAUAGGCUCUCAAUAUACUACAGUAGAUGUGCUCAGUGCAGAAUAGUAACCUCCCCAUUCUUUGGGUAUGAAUUGGGGGGGUCUGAGGCUGAAGACAUUGGAAAUCUCCCUAUGCCUCCUGUAGAUACUAAGGGCUAACUGAAUGUAUGCAUAGGCCAGUGUUCUAAAGCUUGGCUCUGAUUCCAGUUCCUCUUCUUGUGAAGGGAGUGUUGGGCAAUAUCAAGGAUGAAGAGGAAUUCUUAGUCUGGCUGGGAGGAGGUAGAGACAAGAAGGGUAUUUCUAUUACUAUUUUUAUUUAUUUUUGUUACCCAACCCCAAGGCUCUGGGGCUCAGGUUCAACCUGGGGUUAGGGUAUUGAUGUCAGUACUAGGAUUAAGGCUGGGAAUAAUGAGCAGGGUUAAAGGAAGGCACGAGGUUUCCGCUUCAAGUGUGAGGUCUGGGUGGAGUCCUGGAUAGAGCAAGCUCUAAGACCCAGGGUGGCUAAGGACUCGGUUACUGUCAGCAGCCUGUUCUACCUGAGCUAGAACUCUCCUUAGCACUGGUUAUGCCAGGCAGUCCUGGGGUUUGCAGCAAGGGUCACAGCUGUGGGCUGGGUCAGGAGCUUGGCAGGGAACGGGCCUGGGAGACAGGGAGCGACACCGUGGGAAGUGGGCAGCUAUGCAGCGGCAGGCAGGAUCUGAAGCCAGCACCAAGGACAGCUCCAGGAGGGCGUCAAUAAGGAAGCUGCUGGCAUUUCCCACCUGCUUCCCCUCAAGCCAUGACAUCACAGUCACAGAUCCCCAAGAAGACCAAGGUAACGACAGAUCUUCCAGGACCCUGGUCUCUCGAUGUGGGUACCAGUUCGAAAGCUCAGGUUUGGAUAAUUGUUUUUCUAACAAUGCACUGCCAUUUCCAUGUAAUCCCCAGGUUCACUUGCCUCAGCAUGACUUUCUCCUCCUCUGAUCCCUCCCUUCCCAUAGGGAAAUUAGAAGUCUCCUUAUCUUUUUUUAUUCCCCUCAUCUUGUUGUCUGAGCCCUCGGAAUGAGUCCUGGAUGACUGGGUUUUUGUGGCAGGCACUCAGGGUAGACAGGUCUGUUCCUGUACCAUUGUCAGUAUGAACAGCAGACUCUCAAGAGAAGAAGCCUUGGAGAAAGCAACACUGUCAUCAUUUCCCAAAGGAACGGCUAGGGCUUGGUGAUGGGGUUCUUUCAUGGAGCAGGAUUCUGUCCUCCUGGAAUCUCACCGUGAGUGCCGGUGUAGAUGGGAAGAGAAGGGGGAAGUCUAUUUGACCUAGGUGUAAAUGCUGGGGUAUCCCGGUCCAUCUGCAGCACAAGGCUCAGCAUGCCAGCUCCUCAUUGAUCUCCAUGGCACUCACUGAGUGGAGCUAAGGAAGUUAAAGGUCCAGAGAGGUUAGGUCACAAGUCAGUCCCCUCAGGUCACAGAAAUAAAAGGUCCAGAAGUCAAAUAAAGCCCUCUGGAUGCAAGUCCUAGAAUCUUGGAAGGGAUUCAGAAAAGUCUUUCUGCAGGAUAUGAGUUCAGGGCUGCUGGAAUUGGGGACUGGGUAUUGGGGCGGGGGGAGGAGCUGAAAUGGAAGGAGAAGGUAUAGAAGAGAGACUGGCUGAUUGAGACAAUGGAAUGAAGCCGACAUGUCUCUAUGGGCUAGCCUGCGCUAGGCCUUUGCCCACUGUAGAGGGGCAGAGAACUUUCAAAGGGGGAAUUUCAGCUCUUCUCUCCAGCAGAUGAACUCAUGCUUGGAGUCUGCUCUCCUGUGAGAUAUAGGGGAUGGGGAGAACAGCAGCCAGAAGAAACCCCACUGACAUUGCUACGAGAGGCACAGUGAAGAUCACCUGUCUCUGUCAAGGGGCCUUCUACCAGCUCCUCCUAUGCCUUGUUCCCCUCUCCCCGCAGCCAGACUAUGAUCCUUGGUCACAAUUCUAAUCUCCUUCAUCCUCCAUCCUCUUCUUGCAAUUGGAGGAUCCUUCCUGGGAUUCUUAUGGGACUCCCUUCCCCGUAUUUCAUUUUCCAUGUCAAACUCCACCUCAUUGGGUCUGUGGGUUCCUUGGAAAUGGGUUGACAGAUGCUUAGCUCUACAGGGAUGCCACCAAAAUUCAAGGAAGCCAGUGCUAACAUUGAUUAUGCCUGGGCAUCAGGUGCCAUGCCAAGGUUCCCAUGGAUCCUCAGGGCUACCCCUCACCACCCUCAGCUCCUCAGCACCCAUUGCUUCUUGGUUUUGGAACAAGAGUGAAAGAGGUCCAGCCCAGCUUUCUGCCCCCUACCCUGAGGCCCUGUCCUAGUGCCUCUCCCUUUCCUGUCCGUAGGAAGCUCAAUCCUGCUCUUCUCAUCUCCCAGAUAGCAUGUGGUGAGCACAUGACCUCUAAAUUAGAGGCCCACUGGUGUCGUGACCCCGUUUCCUGCUUGUAUUUUGACUUCUAUUGUUUUUGUGUUGUCAGUUUUCAUGGAGGACUCAUUGUCUGCCUGCCUUUCACAGCUCCUCCUCCCGGGGGCUUCUAGCAUUCUCAGGCUGAGCCUGCAUCCUGGGGCAGAUCCCCAGCCCCAGCCCAUGUCAAUCAUGUCGCUGGUAGGCCUCAUGUGACAGAGGUGGCAUCUUCCAGCAUAUCCCUGGGCCCAGAGGACUACCAUCACAUUGAAGCCAUUCGAUGAGACCGUCUUCAGUUCACUGGUUGUUCAAAUGAAGCACAUCCCAGAGCAGCCUGCUGGGCUUAUUAAAACCCGAUGUUAGCCCAGAUCUGCCCCCAUGCUUGGUUUCCGACUCAGUAAAUAAGGUCUGGGGCCCGAGAGUCUGCAUUUCUAGUAAGUUCUCAAGUGGUACGGAUGCUGCUGGCUGGGGAGACCAUACUUUAAGAACCACUGCUGGUCUCAGAAGACUUACUUGCUCUUUUGAUUUAAGGGCAUUGACUGGAACACCCUCAUCCUGGGAGGCUGGGGCUGGUGAGCAGGAACUGACCCCCCCUCCCCAUCAUGGAGACCCAAGCAUUGAUGCCUACAACUCUCACUGCCACCUCCUAAUUGAAUCUGUGUGGAGAAAUUAGGGGGAGGAGCUGAGAGGGGUGGGAGUUGGGAAGACGGCUGCAUAUUGAAUGCUAUUCCCAGAUUUGAAUGUCCUGGGUUGGCAGGUCUGUGCCACUGUGAGACAGCUUCACCCUAGUGAUUAGGGGGAUGGACCCAGCUGGGGUGGGGGUGCAGAAUGAGGGGCUCCUGGGAAGUGUGGAGAGAUAGGUAGAGUGUGGUGGGGCCAUGGAGGAGAGGAUGGGGAUGCCUGGGAGAGGGAGGCUCUGCAGUGUGGGCCCUCCUCUCAUUUCAGCUCUCCAACAUGGAGGUGCUCUGCGAUCCCGGGCCUGCCUAAGACCUGGGCUAUGACUGUCCUUCAAGGGACUUUAUACCUCAGAGUGUACAGAGGACACUAGGAGGCAGAGAGGAGGAGUAGCAGGGCUGUCUGGCUUGUAGUAGAAUAGAUCCUGGGUCUGAUUCUGCUUCCUAGUUUCUAAGGGUGUGACCUUGGGCAAGUCACAGGGGCUUUCAAAGUUUGUUUGCUCAUCUUGAAGAUGGGGAUAAUUAUAGCAGUUUUGUGGAGCACCAGGCCCAGCAUCUGGCACCAAGAACAGCACAUUCAAGAUCACAGGAGAGGGGAUCUGAAAGCUGAUCCGGACCUCUCUUCACCCUAGGGUCUCUGCUCUCCAAUCCAAAAGAGUGGGACCAAGGACCAGACAUCGAGUUCCCUCCCUCGGAGUGGUUGGAGUGAACAUUCCAUCCUGAUUAGCUCCACCGGGCUCCCUCGUGACCUUUUCAUUAGGAAAUUAUGUUUAAUAGAAAUUGUUCUGACACCUCUCAGCGGUGUUCCCUUGCAAUUCAUUACCGAAGGGAGGGGCCCAGGGCUCAGCUCCUGGGGGAGGGGCUGUGCCUCUCCACACCUCUUCAACCUGAUCUGAUAUUGCUGCAGCUCUGUGGGUAGAGGGAUAUGGGGCAGAGGUGUUCCGGCUUGGUGUCCUCAUGUAGAGAGAGGCUAGCUCUUGGGGUACAUCUGGAUGAGCCAGUCCCAUGCACCCUCCAACGUGGCUGCUUUGGAACCUGCAAGUUCACAAGCUAUUGUCAGUGAUAAUGCUAGUGUGUGGAUGGCACACCCGAGUCUUGUCCUGUCCCUAUACUUUGUCCAGAAGGUAAAACACAGCUCAGGAUCUGUAGUUCAACCUAUUUAAUUGUAUCCCAGUCUAGCUUACAGAUAAAUUAGACUCAGACACAGAUUAGCAUUCUUCCAACUUUAGAGAUGGGCUGUAAGGAAGAAGGUGUUUCUGAUUAAAAAUAAAUAAAUCAAAUGAUGUCAUAAGAGACGGUUGCAGACUGUCCGGGCUAUCCACAGACAGAAUACAGCAGAGACUAACUCUUCAACCGAGCCACUGCUGAUAAAACACCAACAGCCUUGCCAUUAAGGUGACCAACCUAUUUGGAUUGAGCAAUGCUCGGUAGGGCCCAGGUAACAGGUUCGUGUCCCACAUUGGACACUAGGAUACUAAUAUAAUAAGGAUAGAAAAACAAACAUUAGAGGAAAUUUUAGAGAAAAUUAUAAGCAAAAUUGAGGGGGAGAUUAAGAUAAUGAAGAUAUAAGAAAAGGGAAAUAAUAAAAACUGGAGAGAAGUCUUAGGAGAAAAUUUACAAAAGAUUUUAAGUACAAUU